AGGAGCAAUCUUGAGGAGAGAGAGAGGAGGAGGGCAAUGACAAUCACAAACAGGACAAGCAGAAGCAGGUCCUCUAAAAGAGAGACUAUCUUUCUUGAACUUGGAAUAAAGAGCAGGCCCACAAACACAGAGAGCAGAAACAGUGGCAAACACAACCAAACAGCUCCUCACCCAUGUACCACUCGAACCACUUCGCCGAGACAUUUUGAUCAAAACACCCUUGUAAUACCCAGAUCAGAUCUACUGGUUUGUGUUGAG
rnacentral:lncRNA from 1 species